AGCAGCCGCGGUAAUUCCAGCUCCAAUAGCGUAUAUUAAAGUUGCUGCAGUUAAAAAGCUCGUAGUUGAAUUUCGGGAUCAAUAUGUUGGUCGUGCCUUGGUACGUACUAGCUCAUUGGUUUCUCCCUUCUGACGAACCAUGAUGUCAUUAAUUUGAUGUCAUGGGGAAUCAGGACUGUUACUUUGAAAAAUUAGAGUGUUUAAAGCAGGCUCGCGUUUGAAUACAUUAGCAUGGAAUAAUGAAAUAGGACAUUUGAUUCUAUUUUGUUGGUUUCUAGGAUCGAUGUAAUGAUUAAUAGGGAUAGUUGGGGGCAUUAGUAUUCAAUUGUCAGAGGUGAAAUUCUUGGAUUUAUUGAAGACUAACUACUGCGAAAGCAUUUGCCAAGGAUGUUUUCAUUAAUCAAAGAACGAAAGUUAGGGGAUC
rnacentral:rRNA from 1 species